ensembl:lncRNA
AUGCACGGACUGAAGGGUGAGAUGAAUCUGCUGUGCAGCUGCAGGACGAAGAUGAGUGUGUGUCGUCUGUGUCUGCUGCUGUCUCUGCUCUGCGUCUGCGCUCACGUCUACAUGCAGCUCGAGGGUCUGCAUCUCCGGAAACAGAGCCAGCAUCACAGGACCGUCGCCACGGCAACAGAUGCUGCAGCUGAUGCUGGAUCCACCUGCUGCUCAGCGCUGAAACAUCACAGACAGGGCUUCUGCGUUUCUGAAGAGCGGAUAUCAGGAAUUAAACGAAGGCAGCUGUGCAAACAAAGCAGCCGAUGGCUAAAUGUGCGCCAGAGACUCGCUGGGAUUUUGUUGAUCCUUGAACGACGCUAAGUUAUUCAUUGAUCCCUAAAACAGGAAAAAAAAAUAGUUCACCCAAAAAUUAACAUUUGCUGAAAGCUUACUCACCCUCAGGCCAUAAGAGAUGCAGAUGAGUUUGUUACUUCAUCAGAUUUGGAGAAAUGUAGCACUGGAACACUGUCUCAGCACUCUGCAGUGAAUGGGUGCCGUCAGAAUGAGAGUCCAAACAGCUGAUAAAAACAUCACAAUAAUCCACAAGUAAUCCACAGCACUCCAGUCCAUCAGUUAACAUCUGGAGAAGACAAAAGAUGAAACACAUCCAGCAUUAAGACGUUUUAAACUAAAAUACCAUAGAGUUCAUAAUCCAUAAUAACACUUCCUCCAGUGAAAAAGUGUUCUGGUGUGAAUCAGGAGAGAAAUCUGCACAGAUCAAGCAGUGUUUAAACAGCUCUACACAAAUAUGUGUCUGGAUUUUGAUGUGAGAGACAACAGGAGAUGCACUUUUUCACUGGAGGAAGACUUGUGGAUUAUUGUGAUGUUUUUAUUAUCUCUACUUUCUGACGGCACCCAUUCACUGCAGAGCAUCCAUUGCUGAGACACUGAUGCAAUGCUACAUUUUUCCAAAUCUGAUGAAGAAACAAACUCAUCUACAUCUCUACAGACACUUACUGAUGUUUCUGCUGCUGCUUCCCCACCAAAAUGAUGUCACUUCCUGGAGGACGACAAUGAUGUCAUUGAGGAAAUGCUGUUACACAGAUUCUACACAAGGA